CCUACGGGGGGCAGCAGUGAGGAAUAUUGGUCAAUGGACGAGAGUCUGAACCAGCCAAGUAGCGUGAAGGAUGACUGCCCUAUGGGUUGUAAACUUCUUUUAUAUGGGAAUAAAAUGUUCCACGUGUGGGAUUUUGUAUGUACCAUAUGAAUAAGGAUCGGCUAACUCCGUGCCAGCAGCCGCGGUAAUACGGAGGAUCCGAGCGUUAUCCGGAUUUAUUGGGUUUAAAGGGAGCGUAGGUGGAUUGUUAAGUCCGUUGUGAAAGUUUGCGGAUCAACCGUAAAAUUGCAGUUGAAACUGGCAGUCUUGAGUACAGUAGAGGUGGGCGGAAUUCGUGGUGUAGCGGUGAAAUGCUUAGAUAGCACGAAGAACUCCGAUUGCGAAGGCAGUUCACUGGACUGCAACUGACACUGAGGCUCGAAAGUGUGGGUAUCAAACAGGAUUAGAUACCCCUGUAGUC
rnacentral:rRNA from 1 species